rnacentral:rRNA from 1 species
AUGAUGAUUCAUUUUGAGUACGUAGAAAGUUGGAAGCUCAUAUUAUUUGGCACUAGGUUAUCCGGUGCAUUAAGAACUUAUCAUUAUGUGCAGAUGCUUGGCAUUCGAAGUGUGAAGAAUAUGGUUUCGCUGAAGGUGUUAGUACAAAGGCUCCUGCAACAAGUGAUGCAAAUGCAAGCACCAAUGAAGAUGACACGAAAACAGUAUCUUCGGUAUAACCCACCUUUUACAUGUAUUCGGUAUUUUUUUAGGAUUAUCCAAUAUUUUUUUAGGAUUAUCCGACAUUGUCAAAUAGGAUUAUUCGAUAAGUCUAGCCCAAAUACACAAAUAGUCCACUUUUUAGAAUCACAUAUAAAUAUAAUAUAA